UGGAUAGGGCUUCCCGCCCGGCCGCUAAAAACGGUCUAUCCUGCUUUUGAGUACCACUUGUUUCCUCGGCGGGCUCCUGGCCCGCCAAUGGGGACCCCAAAAAACCUUUGCAAUGAGCAGUGACUGUCAGUACGAUAAUCAUAUCA
rnacentral:misc_RNA from 1 species